rnacentral:rRNA from 1 species
AGUACGGCGGAACACGAGAAAUUCCGUCGGAAUCCGCGGGGACCAUCCCGCAAGGCUAAAUACUCCCUAGUGACCGAUAGUGAACCAGUACCGUGAGGGAAAGGUGAAAAGCACCCCGGAAGGGGAGUGAAAUAGAUCCUGAAACCGUGUGCCUACAACAAGUCAAAGCUCGUUAAUGAGUGAUGGCGUGCCUUUUGUAGAAUGAACCGGCGAGUUACGAUUGCAUGCGAGGUUAAGUCGAAGAGACGGAGCCGCAGCGAAAGCGAGUCUGAAUAGGGCGAAUGAGUAUGUAGUCGUAGACCCGAAACCAUGUGAUCUACCCAUGUCCAGGUUGAAGGUGCGGUAAAACGCACUGGAGGACCGAACCCACGUACGUUGAAAAGUGCGGGGAUGAGGUGUGGGUAGCGGAGAAAUUCCAAACGAACUUGGAGAUAGCUGGUUCUCUCCGAAAUAGCUUUAGGGCUAGCCUCGGAAUUGAGAAUGAUGGAGGUAGAGCACUGUUUGGACUAGGGGCCCAUCUCGGGUUACCGAAUUCAGAUAAACUCCGAAUGCCAUUCAUUUAUAUCCGGGAGUCAGACUGCGAGUGAUAAGAUCCGUAGUCGAAAGGGAAACAGCCCAGACCACCAGCUAAGGUCCCAAAAUAUAUGUUAAGUGGAAAAGGAUGUGGGGUUGCACAGACAACUAGGAUGUUGGCUUAGAAGCAGCCACCAUUUAAAGAGUGCGUAAUAGCUCACUAGUCGAGUGACCCUGCGCCGAAAAUGUACCGGGGCUAAACAUAUUACCGAAGCUGUGGACUACACCAUUAGGUGUAGUGGUAGGAGAGCGUUCUAAGGGCGUUGAAGGUCGAUCGUGAGGACGGCUGGAGCGCUUAGAAGUGAGAAUGCCGGUAUGAGUAGCGAAAGACAGGUGAGAAUCCUGUCCACCGUAUGACUAAGGUUUCCUGGGGAAGGCUCGUCCGCCCAGGGUUAGUCGGGACCUAAGCCGAGGCCGAUAGGCGUAGGCGAUGGACAACAGGUUGAUAUUCCUGUACCAGUUGUUUUUGUUUGAGCAAUGGAGGGACGCAGUAGGCUAAGGAAUGCAUGCGAUUGGAAGUGCAUGUCCAAGCAAUGAGUCUUGAGUAGAGUUAAAU